GUUUCCGAAAAUGUAGCGGUCAUCACAUGCGCUUUACGCGCGCAAGGUCCCCAGUUCGAUCCUGAGCAGAAGCA
rnacentral:tRNA from 1 species